rnacentral:tRNA from 1 species
GAAGGUAUAGCUCAGUGGUAGAGGGCAUGCUUAGCAUAUGUGAGGUCCUGGGUUCAAUCCGAGUACCUCCA